AUUGGACUCGUGAUGGUAUGUCAAUUAUGUUUGGUGCCUAGUUUAAAUAUCAAAGCUAGAUGAAGAUAAAGUAUAGAGCAUUAUAUUACAUUUUUGAAUUGAUACCCUUUGCUAGCUGUGACAUUAAACUGUUGGUGCAGUAUAUGCCUCAUGCUUCCAUAAUCAUAAGUUUUUCAAUUCCCACACCUUUUUCUUUGGCUCUCCCCCCCUCCAACUGAAAGAUGAGUGAAUUCUAUGGUAUUAUAAUAUCCCUUGCAAGGUUGUGUUGCUAGUAUAUGCGUGCAUGAAAACUAUGAAAUAAGUCAUUUCUUACAUACUUUUUUAAUCUUCUUUUGUUUAUGGGAUAUCUUCUGAUUUUUGUGUUUUCCUCUAAUACAUUCUGAAGACGGAAUAUUGCUCCUUGAGGU
rnacentral:misc_RNA from 1 species